UACGAAGGGGGCUAGCGUUGCUCGGAAUCACUGGGCGUAAAGGGCGCGUAGGCGGCCAUUCAAGUCAGAGGUGAAAGCCCAAGGCUCAACCUUGGAACUGCCUUUGAUACUGUUUGGCUUGAGACCGGUAGAGGUAAGUGGAACUGCGAGUGUAGAGGUGAAAUUCGUAGAUAUUCGCAAGAACACCAGUGGCGAAGGCGGCCGACUGGUCCGGUUCUGACGCUGAGGCGCGAAAGCGUGGGGAGCAAACAGG
rnacentral:rRNA from 1 species